GAUGAAGAACGCAGCGAAAUGCGAUAAGUAGUGUGAAUUGCAGAAUUCAGUGAAUCAUCGAAUCUUUGAACGCACAUUGCGCCCCUUGGUAUUCCAAAGGGCAUGCCUGUUCGAGCGUCAUUUGUACCCUCAAGCUUUGCUUGGUGUUGGGCGUCUUGUCUCUAGCUUUGCUGGAGACUCGCCUUAAAGUAAUUGGCAGCCGGCCUACUGGUUUCGGAGCGCAGCACAAGUCGCACUCUCUAUCAGCAAAGGUCUAGCAUCCAUUAAGCCUUUUUUUCAACUUUUGACCUCGGAUCAGGUAGGGAUACCCGCUGAACUUAAGCAUAUCAAUAAGCGGAGGA
rnacentral:misc_RNA from 1 species